UUCAGGAGCUGGUUUGAUGCAUAAGCUCUCCUUUCAGGCAAUCCUCCUAGCCAUGUGCUUAAUCAUUUCUGCAUGCACAAGAUGGUUUGUGGGAGGAGAAUUAACCAGCAUCUUUACAUGUGCUUUGCUGAUCACAAUAGCUUAUGUUGUAAAGUCACUGUUUCUCAACCUUGCCAGCUAUUUCAAAGCCACCACCUGUGCUAGAUUUGACAGCACUUGAGGAAUACAUGUGAUGAAUGUCCUCCAUCUGGGAACAGUAAUUUGGAGUCUUCUUGGAAUCAACCACUUUAUUGAAAGGGAAUGGAUAACAGAAAAGUUAAUGUUGUUUUCUUUUAAAAAAAAAAACUCUAAUCUCCACAUGUAAUAGUAAUUGGUUCAUGACAAUAAUAUUAAUUUUCCUUUCUUU
rnacentral:lncRNA from 1 species